rnacentral:rRNA from 1 species
CCUACGGGGUGCUGCAGUGGGGAAUAUUGCACAAUGGGCGCAAGCCUGAUGCAGCCAUGCCGCGUGUGUGAAGAAGGCCUUCGGGUUGUAAAGCACUUUCAGCGGGGAGGAAGGCGGUGAGGUUAAUACCCUCAUCGAUUGACGUUACCCGCAGAAGAAGCACCGGCUAACUCCGUGCCAGCAGCCGCGGUAAUACGGAGGGUGCAAGCGUUAAUCGGAAUUACUGGGCGUAAAGCGCACGCAGGCGGUCUGUCAAGUCGGAUGUGAAAUCCCCGGGCUCAACCUGGGAACUGCAUUCGAAACUGGCAGGCUAGAGUCUUGUAGAGGGGGGUAGAAUUCCAGGUGUAGCGGUGAAAUGCGUAGAGAUCUGGAGGAAUACCGGUGGCGAAGGCGGCCCCCUGGACAAAGACUGACGCUCAGGUGCGAAAGCGUGGGGAGCAAACAGGAUUAGAUACCCUAGUAGUC